UACGAAGGGGGCGAGCGUUGUUCGGAUUUACUGGGCGUAAAGGGCGCGCAGGCGGCUCAUUUUGUCAGGCGUGAAAGCCCCGGGCUUAACCUGGGAACUGCGUUUGAUACGGAUGGGCUAGAGUUCGGGAGAGGAGAGUGGAAUUCCCAGUGUAGAGGUGAAAUUCCUAGAUAUUCGGAAGAACACCAGUGGCGAAGGCGACACACUGGCUCACUACUGACGCUGAGGCGCGAAAGCGUGGGGAGCAAACAGG
rnacentral:rRNA from 1 species